rnacentral:lncRNA from 1 species
CCGGCACUUCUGUCGCUUCGGCCAGAAGUCGUCGAAACUCAAGGGGGAGUAUCACAAGCUCUCCCGGCACUUCUGUCGCUUCGGCCAGAGGUCGUCGAAACUCAGGGGGAGUAUCACAAGCUCUCCUGGCACUUCUGUCGCUUCGGCCAGAAGUCGUCGAAAUUCAAGGGGGAGUAUCACAAGCUCUCCCGGCACUUCUGUCGCUUCGGCCAGAAGUCGUCGAAAUUCAGGGGGGAGUAUUACAAGCUCUCCCGACACUUCUGUCGCUUCGGCCAGAAGUCGUCGAAAAAAUUUGAGCAUGGUGAAUUCUGUCGCUUUGGCCAGAUUCACCAAGGAUUUAUUGAGCAAAGGAGGAGCUUCACGAGAGGUAAAUCGCAGGUAAGUUCAAUAAUUAAUAUAUGCGUUU